GUUACCUUUUAUUCUGAUGAUUGUUAACGGAAUAAUUCUGCGGUGGGGAUCUUUUCAGUGUGUGACCCUGGUGAAUAGCAAAGCCCUGUUCGAAUUUUCCUUCUGUGUGUUGUUCAUAAUUCAAGUGACAAUGAGAAACUCUGGUCUCAGUGGGAUGGAAAUAGAGCCUGGAAGAAAUGGGAAACUUUAAUAUCUGGAUGGAUUCCUUAAACAGGUAACAGAAACUAUAGCCUGAAAGCCAAACUGAUUUUGAUUGACAAGAACCGGACUUUAAGGGGGAAAUAAUAAAAUACAUUCUUAGGGACUAAAGAAGAUGGGGCUUGACUAUGAAGAACUAAGCUUAGAACACUAUGCACGAGAUUUGUACCAAACACAUUAAAGGAAAAAGAAAAUCUAGACGACAUCAUAAUUUCCCCGCCACGCAAAAAAGAAAUGUGAAGGUAGAAUUCGGCUGAUUUGAGAAUGCUGGGGGAAGACGGAAAUGUGCGUGCUCUGCAUGCCCCAGAAAUCUUCACACCUUUUACUCCUUAUCCACUGAAUGCUAGGGAAGAAGAAGAAGAUGGAACAGAUACUUCGAGGGGAUCCAGCAGCAGGAAGGUUGCACCUCACUCUCCGGGGUAAAGCCUGGGAAGGCUAAUGGGCUUUUAGGGAAACUAUGUUCAGCAUGGCCCUGGCACCAUGGAGCUUCUAGUCUGGACAGGAAAUUUGAGGAGCUUUCUCUCUGGGGUUGGUGGUAGCCACGUGAAUUUUACCAUUCCCAGCAUGGUCCAAGAAAUACAUCCAGAAGUUCUGGAACAUCCUCCUCUCUACAGGGGGACUAAAAAUAUACUGAGAAGCCCAGCGGAUUGGGAGUUGCCUGGGGUUAGGACCAGAAGUGAGAGAUUUGAUGAGGUCCCAGAGAAAAAGACCCGGCAGCCG
rnacentral:lncRNA from 1 species